GGCUACUCGAUCCAGCAGGCGUACACGGC
rnacentral:sRNA from 1 species